GCCCCUGGAGCGUGUUAAUAGCCGUUAUCUCUUGGCCUGAAACGGUGGUUAGGGAAUC
rnacentral:ncRNA from 1 species